UAGUCCACACUGUAAACGAUGCAUGCUAGAUGUUGGGAACUUAAGUUUUCAGUGUCGGAGCUAACGCGAUAAGCAUGCCGCCUGGGGAGUACGGUCGCAAGAUUAAAACUUAAAGGAAUUGACGGGGACCCGCACAAGCGGUGGAGUAUGUGGUUUAAUUCGAAGCUACGCGAAGAACCUUACCAGCUCUUGACAUGUGGAUCGUAGGAUGUAGAGAUAUAUCCGUCAGCUCGGCUGGAUCCAACACAGGUGCUGCAUGGCUGUCGUCAGUUCGUGUCGUGAGAUGUUGGGUUAAGUCCCGCAACGAACGCAACCCUUGCUGCUAGUUACCAACACUUUGGGUGGGUACUUUAGCGGAACCGCCGGUGAUAAACCGGAGGAAGGUGGGGACGACGUCAAGUCAUCAUGGCCCUUAUGGGCUGGGCUACACGCGUACUACAAUGGAUGUGACAGAAUGAUGCAAAGCUAUACAUAAAGGCGGAGCAAAACACUAAAAGCAUCCCC
rnacentral:rRNA from 1 species